rnacentral:rRNA from 1 species
AGUGAACGCUGGCGGUAGGCCUAACACAUGCAAGUCGAACGAGUGGCGGAUGGGUGAGGAAUACACCGUAAUCUACUUUGUCGUGGGGGUUAACGUAGGGAUACUUACGCUAAUACCGCAUACGUUUGAAGGAGCCGCUGUCGGAUUAGUUAGUUGGCGGGGUGAAGGCGCACCCAGGCAACGAUCCGUAGCUGGUCUGAGAGGAUGAUCAGCCAGCCUGGGACUGAGGCACGGUCCAGACUCCUACGGGAGGCAGCAGUGGGGAAGAUUGGGCAAUGGGCGCAAGCCUGAUCCAGCCAUACCGCGUGGGAGAAUAAGGCCUUCGGGUUGUAAAGCCGUUUUGUUAGGAAAGCGGUACCCGGAGAAGAAGCGCCGGCUAACUUCGUGCCAGCAGCCGCGGUAAUAC